UACGUAGGGGGCAAGCGUUGUCCGGAUUUACUGGGCGUAAAGAGCGUGUAGGCGGUCAGGUAGGUCCGUUGUGAAAACUCGAGGCUCAACCUCGAGACGCCGAUGGAAACCAUCUGACUAGAGUCCGGAAGAGGAGAGUGGAAUUCCUGGUGUAGCGGUGAAAUGCGCAGAUAUCAGGAAGAACACCCGUGGCUAAGGCGGCUCUCUGGUACGGUACUGACGCUGAGACGCGAAAGCGUGGGGAGCGAACAGG
rnacentral:rRNA from 1 species